UGUGAGCUCAGGGAGAUGCAGUGUUAGCAGUGAUUUUGUUUAGAACCAUAUUUCUCAGAAGCACUUUUCUGAAAAACAUUUUACUUAGGGAAGCAUUCCGCUGAGCUUUUUUCCUUAGUAGAGGAACUUAUUGAUGAAUGGAAAAAUAAAAAAUAAAAGGAAAUCUGGGAGCUAUUCAGCUUGAGGACCAUACAGAUUCUUCUGCCUUUGCCAGUUUGCAGAAUGAUUCGGAGUCACGCAACUGCAGCGGCUGAGUUCAGGUGAAUUCUUCCCUCAGAGCUGGCCAAGAAGCUGCUUGGGCAAAAACCACCGAGGGAGUGAGGAAGACUAAACAUCACAUCACCGUGCGUGCUUUGCAGAUUACUGCACAGCUUCCAGCCGCUCUUUCAGCGGUGGCUGUGGAACGCUGCCGGUGGAUUCUUCACACAGUGUCUGAGCCUAAGAGCACCGACCUGUCUGCUUUCAUUGGCACCAUGCUGCCGGCCCUAGCAGUCAGCCAGGACUCCCACUGCUUUCAAACAAUGGGGGGUUACCUGACUAGGGACCGCAGGAUGCAAAGCCCGGAGCAGUCGAUGCAAGAUAAACAGAACUAUAAGCUAACAUCGCGCGGUCUUUUUUCUUCUGUUCCUGGAACUUUGCCGUUUUCUGUCCCGUUCCCUUCCCUAACGCAGUUCAGUGCUUUUUAAGAGCAAUUAGUCUCUUGCGUCAAUUGUUUUGUCCCAAACUAAGUCUUUAAGCACAAGACAAUAGAUCACAGCGAUCCCUCAAGUUUCAGGUAAACAAAGCACUACAAUCACUCUCUCUCGUGGGCUUUCUGUUCAGCCAGCUGACUCGGGCUUAUUAAUAUUUCUGAUCAUAUGCCUCCGAAAACAACACAGCCUCUCUCUCCUGCCCCUAACGAGCCUGACAGACAUUUGGACAACUUUGGCACAAGGUCUUUUAUUAGUAACAAGAGUAAAAUACACUGGAAAUGUCAAUUUAUAAAUGGGCACACUUUUAAGUCCUGCUGCAGACACUGUUCAAAAGGAGAGGCUAAUGCCUCCGAAUUUCUUUUUAAAAAGUCAGUUAAAAUAAAAACGUGGCCAAGAUGAAAACUAGAAUGAUUCCCAGAUAGACUGUAACUUGACUGUGUCACAUGUGACAUAGACACCUACAGGCUACGCUACUGCAAUGUGCUCUACCUGGGUUUAGUUGUGCAGGGCCAUUGGAAGAUAGAGAGCUAGUGUAAAAUGCAAUUGCUGAGGGCCAAUUAGCAUGUUUAUAUCCUGCCUCUGUGCUCUUUCCUCUUCACUGCCGCUCAUCCAUCUCUGGGUGAAACUGAAUGGCUACUUGCAAUACACAAAACCAUACAUUGCAUUACAUUAGCACCUAAAGACCUCAAUCAGGGAUCAGAGUCCAAAUUGUGCUAGGAGCUGAGUGCAUCAGAGGUGUCAAACUCAUAUGGAAAGGGUCAAAUUCUACUUUUGGUUAUGGUCCAUGGAUAACUAUACACUUCCGUACUUCCCUCCAUUCAGAGCAAGAAUGCCCAUUGAUAUCAAUGGGAAGUUUGAAUAGAGAUCAAGGGUAAAAUCUGGCCUUUAUCUAGUAACUAAACAAGUUACUAUUAUUUAUUAAGCACUUUACUGUCACAUUCAGUAUCACUCAGUGGACACUAUGGCCACCUUGGCCUACUCCUAUUUGCACCCUUUCUCCCUCUUCCUACCCCAUGCUCAUAUCUCUGUUUCUGUCCCUUUUCCUUGUCUUUGUAUCUCUCUUCCUCUCUUAUCUUUGCAUUUUCCUCUCUGCAACAUUUCCCAGUUUCCAUUCCCAUUCCAUCUGCUAAUAUGAUCAGCAAUUAAAUCACUAACAUCGAAGUGCUAUUUUAGUUAGCAUUCCAAUUAAAUUAACGGGAACAACAGAAUCCAUGCCUUUGAGAGCUAUUGUUUCAGGCUGUCUGCAGACUCAAGCUUGACUAAUGAGAGAAAUUGAUUGGCAUUACUGGUAUACUUAUGGUGCUGUAGUUAUACCUGUACAACUUCCCAUGUGACGAGUCUGUUUUGGAAUAACAGUGGGGAUUUUUUUGUUCAGUUUAUGUUGCUUCCAUAAGGCCCAGUCUUGUCUGGCCAAAAGAGAUCAUCAUGUUAGCUCAACUGAGUUAUCUUAACGUGAUCAAGAAACUCUCAACACUCACUGAGGUUUAGACUAACACAUCUGAAGCUGUGUUAUCGGGCUGUGUUUUAAAAUCUUGGGGCGAAGGGGGAGCCAUGUUUGGACUUGAAGACUCAGUGUGCCUUGUCCAUACUAUCCUUUUAAACCAUUAGUAAAUCGGAGUUAGGUAACAUUACCCCUUUAAACCUACUCUAGAAACAAGAUGCUCUUCUCCAUCUUUGACUCCUACACCAAUUGCAUUUCUCCAGAAUGCCUAAGUUAACUGUCCCAGGAGUGCAGCUGGUAGGAGUUGGAUACAAGGCAUACUGGGUGGUGAGAUCUCUAGAAUUUACUCCAUCUAAGCCUCAGCCACCUCUCUUGUGUAAACAUUGCAAACCACUGCUGUUUGAUGUGAACUCUUGACUGCUUGGCAUUCACCCUCCCCUGGCUUAAGUCUGCUUUGUGUAUGUGCUCUAGAUCACAGUGCAGUAGGGUGGUGUGGUGUAUAGUAAUCCUAAUGAGUAAUCGGUAUUUGUUGCCCAUUCAAUCCCUACAGAAUGCAUUCAUGCGACAGUGACGGGCACCCCCACAAUAAUAAUUAGUAGCUGGAGAUCUACAAAAUGUUUUGCCUUGGGUUUAAUGUACAAAUCAGUGAUGCUCUUAAUCUUUGACACCAUGAGCUGUGGUAAAAGUGGGAUCUCCCUUAUGGUCUGCCCUGUUAAAAGUCACUGGAAGAAAGAUCAACACAAACAGCUGGCAGACCAGAGGGCCCCUUCUAUCCUCUUUUGUCUGCAGCCUUUGGGGUGAGAUGAGCCACAGUCCUAUGUAAGGUCUCUUAAAUCCACU